rnacentral:rRNA from 1 species
AUUGAACGCUGGCGGCAUGCCUAACACAUGCAAGUCGAACGGUAACAGGAUUAGCUUGCUAAUCGCUGACGAGUGGCGGACGGGGGAGUAAUGCAUAGGAAUCUGCCCAUGUAGUGGGGGAUAACUUGGGGAAAUCAAGCUAAUACCGCAUAAUUCCUACGGGAGAAAGAGGGCCUAUACUUGUAAGCUCUUGCUAUUGGAUGAGCCUAUGUCGGAUUAGUUAGUUGGUGAGGUAAUGGCUUACCAAGACUACAAUCCGUAGCUGGUUUGAGAGGAUGAUCAGCCACACUGGGACUGGGACACGGCCCAGACUCCUACGGGAGGCAGCAGUGAGGAAUAUUGCACAAUGGGGGCAACCCUGAUGCAGCAAUGCCGCGUGUGUGAAGAAGGCCUGAGGGUUGUAAAGCACUUUCAAUUGUGAGGAAAAGCAAAAGACCAAUACUCUUUUGUCUUGACGUUAACUUUAGAAGAAGCACCGGCUAACUCCGUGCCAGCAGCCGCGGUAAUACGGAGGGUGCAAGCGUUAAUCGGAAUUACUGGGCGUAAAGCGCGCGUAGGUGGUUUGAUAAGUUGGAUGUGAAAGCCCCGGGCUCAACCUGGGAACGGCAUUCAAAACUGUCUAACUAGAGUAUGGUAGAGGGAAGUGGAAUUUCAGGUGUAGCGGUGAAAUGCGUAGAUAUCUGAAGGAACACCAGUGGCGAAGGCGACUUCCUGGACCAAUACUGACACUGAGGUGCGAAAGCGUGGGUAGCAAACGGGAUUAGAUACCCUGGUAGUCCACGCCGUAAACGAUGUCUACUAGCCGUAGGGCCCCUUAGAGGGUUUUGUGGCGCAGCUAACGCACUAAGUAGACCGCCUGGGGAGUACGGCCGCAAGGUUAAAACUCAAAUGAAUUGACGGGGGCCCGCACAAGCGGUGGAGCAUGUGGUUUAAUUCGACGCAACGCGAAGAACCUUACCACCCCUUGACAUCCUCAGAACUUGUUAGAAAUAACUUGGUGCCUUCGGGAAUUGAGUGACAGGUGCUGCAUGGCUGUCGUCAGCUCGUGUCGUGAGAUGUUGGGUUAAGUCCCGUAACGAGCGCAACCCUUGUCCUUAUUUGCCAGCACGUAAUGGUGGGAACUCUAAGGAGACUGCCGGUGACAAACCGGAGGAAGGUGGGGACGACGUCAAGUCAUCAUGGCCCUUACGGGGUGGGCUACACACGUGCUACAAUGGUCGGUACAGAGGGUUGCAAUGUCGCGAGGCGGAGCUAAUCUCAGAAAGCCGAUCGUAGUCCGGAUUGCAGUCUGCAACUCGACUGCAUGAAGUUGGAAUCGCUAGUAAUCGCGAAUCAGAAUGUCGCGGUGAAUACGUUCCCGGGCCUUGUACACACCGCCCGUCACACCAUGGGAGUGGGUUGCAACAGAAGUAGGUAGUCUAACCUU